rnacentral:rRNA from 1 species
CGGCAACAGCUCAAAUUUGAAAUCUGGCUCUUUCAGGGUCCGAGUUGUAAUUUGUAGAAGAUGCUUCGGGUGUAGCACCGGUCUAAGUUCCUUGGAACAGGACGUCAUAGAGGGUGAGAGCCCCGUACAGUUGGACACUAAGCCCAUGUGAAGCUCCUUCGAC